AAAAAUAGAAGAAAAA
rnacentral:sRNA from 1 species